CUACACAUGCAGUCGAGCGGAACGAGUUAUCUGAACCUUCGGGGAACGAUAACGGCGUCGAGCGGCGGACGGGUGAGUAAUGCCUAGGAAAUUGCCCUGAUGUGGGGGAUAACCAUUGGAAACGAUGGCUAAUACCGCAUGAUGCCUACGGGCCAAAGAGGGGGACCUUCGGGCCUCUCGCGUCAGGAUAUGCCUAGGUGGGAUUAGCUAGUUGGUGAGGUAAGGGCUCACCAAGGCGACGAUCCCUAGCUGGUCUGAGAGGAUGAUCAGCCACACUGGAACUGAGACACGGUCCAGACUCCUACGGGAGGCAGCAGUGGGGAAUAUUGCACAAUGGGCGCAAGCCUGAUGCAGCCAUGCCGCGUGUGUGAAGAAGGCCUUCGGGUUGUAAAGCACUUUCAGUCGUGAGGAAGGUAGUGUAGUUAAUAGCUGCAUUAUUUGACGUUAGCGACAGAAGAAGCACCGGCUAACUCCGUGCCAGCAGCCGCGGUAAUACGGAGGGUGCGAGCGUUAAUCGGAAUUACUGGGCGUAAAGCGCAUGCAGGUGGUUUGUUAAGUCAGAUGUGAAAGCCCGGGGCUCAACCUCGGAAUAGCAUUUGAAACUGGCAGACUAGAGUACUGUAGAGGGGGGUAGAAUUUCAGGUGUAGCGGUGAAAUGCGUAGAGAUCUGAAGGAAUACCGGUGGCGAAGGCGGCCCCCUGGACAGAUACUGACACUCAGAUGCGAAAGCGUGGGGAGCAAACAGGAUUAGAUACCCUGGUAGUCCACGCCGUAAACGAUGUCUACUUGGAGGUUGUGGCCUUGAGCCGUGGCUUUCGGAGCUAACGCGUUAAGUAGACCGCCUGGGGAGUACGGUCGCAAGAUUAAAACUCAAAUGAAUUGACGGGGGCCCGCACAAGCGGUGGAGCAUGUAGGUUUAAUUCGAUGCAACGCGGAAGAACCUUAACUUACU
rnacentral:rRNA from 1 species